UACGGGGGGGGCAAGCGUUGUUCGGAAUUACUGGGCGUAAAGGGUUUGUAGGUGGCUUGCUAAGUCAGACGUGAAAUCCCUCAGCUUAACUGGGGAACUGCGUCUGAGACUGGCAAGCUUGAGUGCAGGAGAGGAACGCGGAAUUCCAGGUGUAGCGGUGAAAUGCGUAGAUAUCUGGAGGAACACCGGUGGCGAAGGCGGCAUCCUGGACCAAUUCUGACGCUGAGUGAGCGAAAGCCAGGGGAGCAAACGGG
rnacentral:rRNA from 1 species